UGGGGAAUAUUGCACAAUGGGCGCAAGCCUGAUGCAGCCAUGCCGCGUGUAUGAAGAAGGCCUUCGGGUUGUAAAGUACUUUCAGCGGGGAGGAAGGGAGUAAAGUUAAUACCUUUGCUCAUUGACGUUACCCGCAGAAGAAGCACCGGCUAACUCCGUGCCAGCAGCCGCGGUAAUACGGAGGGUGCAAGCGUUAAUCGGAAUUACUGGGCGUAAAGCGCACGCAGGCGGUUUGUUAAGUCAGAUGUGAAAGCCCCGGGCUCAACCUGGGAACUGCAUCUGAUACUGGCGAGCUUGAGUCUCGUAGAGGGGGGUAGAAUUCCAGGUGUAGCGGUGAAAUGCGUAGAGAUCUGGAGGAAUACCGGUGGCGAAGGCGGCCCCCUGGACGAAGACUGACGCUCAGGUGCGAAAGCGUGGGGAGCAAACAGG
rnacentral:rRNA from 1 species